GAUGAUAGCCGACAGCACGUUGAAUACACCAGUUUCCGAUAGAUCACUGAAGUUAAGCAACGUUGAGCAAGGUCGGUAUCCGGAUAAGUAAACAUUCGCGUGCUGAUGUAU
rnacentral:rRNA from 1 species